rnacentral:rRNA from 1 species
GCUAGUCGUACGAGUUCAGACUCGUGGCGAAUAGCUCAGUAACACGUGGUCAAACUACCCUGUCGAGCGGGACACCCUCGGGAAACUGAGGCUAAUCCCGCAUACGGCUCGCUGCCUGGAGUGGCGCGAGCUCGAAACGCUCCGGCGCGACAGGAUGUGACUGCGGCCGAUUAGGUAGACGGUGGGGUAACGGCCCACCGUGCCAAUAAUCGGUACGGGUUGUGAGAGCAAGAGCCCGGAGACGGUAUCUGAGACAAGAUACCGGGCCCUACGGGGCGCAGCAGGCGCGAAACCUUUACACUGCACGCCAGUGCGAUAAGGGGACUCCCAGUGCGAGGGCAUAUCGUCCUCGCUUUUGUGUACCGUAGGGAGGUACACGAAUAAGGGCUGGGCAAGACCGGUGCCAGCCGCCGCGGUAAUACCGGCAGCCCAAGUGAUGACCGCUAUUAUUGGGCCUAAAGCGUCCGUAGCCGGCCACGCAAGUCCGUCGGGAAAUCCGCACGCCCAACGUGCGGGCGUCCGGCGGAAACUGCCUGGCUUGGGACCGGAAGACCAGAGGGGUACGUCCGGGGUAGGAGUGAAAUCCCGUAAUCCUGGACGGACCACCGGUGGCGAAAGCGCCUCUGGAAGACGGAUCCGACGGUGAGGGACGAAAGCUCGGGUCACGAACCGGAUUANAUACCCGGGUAGUCCGAGCCGUAAACGAUGUCUGCUAGGUGUGACACUGGCUACGAGCCAGUGUUGUGCCGUAGGGAAGCCGUGAAGCAGACCGCCUGGGAAGUACGUCCGCAAGGAUGAAACUUAAAGGAAUUGGCGGGGGAGCACUACAACCGGAGGAGCCUGCGGUUUAAUUGGACUCAACGCCGGACAUCUCACCAGCACCGACAGUAGCCGUGAAGAUCANUGUGAUGAGCUUAUUGGAGCUACUGAGAGGAGGUGCAUGG